rnacentral:rRNA from 1 species
UACGUAGGGGGGCAAGCGUUGUCCGGAUUUAUUGGGCGUAAAGAGCGUGUAGGCGGCCAUACAGGUCAGCUGUGAAAACUCGAGGCUCAACCUCGAGACGUCGGUUGAAACCGUAUGGCUAGAGUCCGGAAGAGGAGAGUGGAAUUCCCGGUGUAGCGGUGAAAUGCGCAGAUAUCGGGAAGAACACCCGUGGCGAAGGCGGCUCACUGGCUCGUAUCUGACGCUCAGGCGCGACAGCGUGGGGGAUCAAACAGG